rnacentral:lncRNA from 1 species
GCGGAGAAGGAGAAGGGGAAGGGAAUGAAGUGAUUGAACAGAAGGCAGCGAAGAAAAAACGGAUAGUUUAUGGCUGAGGAAGAGGAAGAGAUUUGACCAACUCGAUAAAUAACUCAGUGAAAUUGAUUAAAUUGAUUCUGAGUCAAUUUCAAAUUGGGAUCGCUUUUGCUGUAUUUAUAUAUAAGGUAUUGAUUUAAUCAUAAUGUGAUGUGAUAUGGUUUAUCUAAGAGAUUGGACUUCUUAGAUAUAGCCUUAGAGCCCC